rfam:Schistosoma mansoni strain Puerto Rico chromosome 3, complete genome
GCACUGCUGAGGAGUCCCAUAAUACGACAAAACGGCCGUCCAGUGC